rnacentral:rRNA from 1 species
AUUGAACGCUGGCGGCAGGCCUAACACAUGCAAGUCGAACGAGUGGCGGACGGGUGAGUAAUGUCUGGGACACUGCCUGAUGGAGGGGGAUAACUACUGGAAACGGUCGCUAAUACCGCAUACCAUCGGAUGUGCCCAUAUGGGAUUCGCUAGUAGGUGGGGUAAAGGCUCACCUAGGCGACGAUCCCUAGCUGGUCUGAGAGGAUGACCAGCCACACGGGAACUGAGACACGGUCCAGACUCCUACGGGAGGCAGAAGUGGGGAAUAUUGCACAAUGGGCGCAAGCCUGAUGCAGCCAUGCCGCGUGUAUGAAGAAGGCCUUCGGGUUGUAAAGCACUUUAAGUUGGGAGGCGUUACCAACAGAAGAAGCACCGGCUAACUUCGUGCCAGCAGCCGCGGUAAUAC